GCUCCUAGAUAGCUCAGUUGGUUAAACCAUGGUGCUGAUAACACCAAGGUUGCUGGUUUGAUCUCUGUAUAGGAUGGUUGCA